GAAAGCCCCACUGUCUGACAGAAACACACCGGCCGAACUUCACACUGCAGCCGCACCAGCGCGGGGGACAACCGAACUCAACCCUGGAACUCCUCCGCUCUCAGCCGAGAGACGGCUCGAUUGAAAUGCAAAGGAAUUCCACGGCACAUAACGGCAAUGCACCGAGGAGCACCUCUGGCCCCCGCGCACCUUCAGCCUAACAUGCAAGACAAAAGUCUCUGAGAAGGAAAUGUAGCUCUGCAUGUAAAGGAGUGUAAUAUUGGCGUGAAGUUCUCUGGCAGUCCCCAGAAGGUCAGUGGCACAAUGAAGCAUGAAACCAACCCAUCUUGAGCUGCAGAGGACUGGGUGAGGUCAGGUCAUACUAGUAUUAAUAGAGGAAGUGUUUGGUCUCGCUGUGGAUUCAUGUACUCCCAACGACUAGAAGCAUUUGCCCGAUCACAGAUUGACAUGUGGUUCUUCAUGUAGAGGCAUCUGGACCAGAGGUGGAAAGUAACUAAUUACAUUUACUCACAUUACUGUAAUUGAGUACAUUUUAUGAGUAAUUUGUCAUUUUUAAAGUAGUUUUUAAAAGAGGUACUUUUACUCAAGUACAGUUUGUCACAAGUAAUUUAAUUCGCUACAUUGAAAAAAUCCCCAUUACUGAGUAACAAAUGAGAUGCUGGGGAAAAAAAACUAAUUGUCUGAAUAAAAAAAAAAAAUUAUUGAGUUUUGU